UGAUGGCUGUUCUUCUCACUGCUUGAAGCCAUAGGUAGUUGGAUUGUAGUUCAUCCCAUAUCUAAGCUGUCUUGCCUUCGAUCAGAGCACCACAGGAAUGUGUUGGCUGUCCAUCAGAGCCUUCUGAUUUUUGCAGUCAAACAAUA